GGGCGAAUAGCUCAGCAGGGAGAGCACCUGCCUUACACGCAGGGGGUCGUCGGUUCGAGCCCGGCUUCGCCCACCA
rnacentral:tRNA from 1 species